rnacentral:rRNA from 1 species
UACAGAGGUCUCAAGCGUUGUUCGGAUUCAUUGGGCGUAAAGGGUGCGUAGGCGGCGCGGUAAGUCGGGUGUGAAAUCUCGGAGCUUAACUCCGAAACUGCAUUCGAUACUGCCGUGCUUGAGGACUGGAGAGGAGACUGGAAUUUACGGUGUAGCGGUGAAAUGCGCAGAUAUCAGGAGGAACACCAGCGGCGAAGGCGGCGCUCUGGGCCGGUACUGACGCUGAGGAGCGAAAGCGUGGGGAGCAACAGG